CUUUUCGAGGUCGGCCGCGUGGCUGGAAGACAUGGCCACUCCAGUCGGUGUUGAGCACGGCGAGCAGUCUCAGGCCUUUAGUGAUGAUGUCAGCCUCAGUUUCCAAAGCCGGAAAAGGAUCCUCUAGUAGCCACGGUGUGGCAGCUGCUCUGAACCAGGACCUGGACCCGGACCCAAAGUGCCAUGUCUUUAAUGUUAGCUCCCAGCGAUGCCAGAUGGGAUCAGCACAGCCCUGCCUCUGCUGCUAAUUGUUCCUCUAAAGUAAUCGCCAUGCGUUCUUUGGGCUUCAUCUUUAAAGGAAUGAAGCAACUGAGAUUAUUCUGGAAAACCUUUUGGCAGUUAGUGAAAUUAGAGUACAACUAAGAACAUUUUCAGACCUCCACUGUGGAUGACCUGGGUAUAAUCUCACAAAUCGAUGGGACUGCAAGGAUUGUAAACUGAAAUGAACAUGAUUAUACUCUGUUGGAAGAGCCUAAGAGGAAACUGAUGCCAUGAGUUUCAGAGAGUAAUGCUUAACCCCAGUUACACAGGAUGCCGUCUUGUGUUUCCUCUUGUUUAGUUACCCACUACAGUGAUUUUGUGAUCUGCUAAUGGGUUGCCACCCACAACCAUUGCUUUAGCACUUUUACUUCAAAUCAAUGAAGGAUUGAUAAAAGUUC
ensembl:lncRNA SNHG16 small nucleolar RNA host gene 16